UGCUUUUGGUUGGAGGAAAAGACUGGAAGUCAUGCAUGUGAAUUUAGAGGUAGUAUUUAUUGUAGAAUUUCAAGAGAGUUCCUAAAUUGCCUGUUGGUGUUUGAUUGAACAGUCUUCUUGUAUUGCUCACCACAUCUUACCAUGUUGAGACUGUUUGUGCUGCUUACAGCAGUGGUCUGCUGUAAUGCCUGCUCAUUAGAAAUAGAGGGCCUUCGAGAUGUCACUAACGGUCCAGAUUGUCCUGACAAUGAUGGAAAUCUCCAUGAAUUUCACUCUGAAUGGGAGACCGAAUCUGAAAGAUGUAUCUGUACUGGUGUUGGAAUCAUCUGUUGUAAUAGGUUUGGGGACAUAUUUGACAGCACCUUCCCACCUGAACCCACCACUGAAUCCACCACUGAAUCCACCACUGGAUUCAUCGCUGAUAGCUUUUAUGAAUUAUUUGGCUACACUGAGCAUGAAGAACCACCCAUCAGUGAUGGAGAGCCUGCUGCUCCUGAAGUUCCCAAUCAGCCAGAUUCCUCAGACUCACCUGAAGUCAUUGCUGAUGACUCUCAUGAGUCAGCUGAGGACAGUAAAUAAUCCAAACAUCCUGAACAGCAAAAAUAUUUUUUCACUUAAAUGGUUUUUUACAAGGCUUCACCCUGAAUGAGCCGAUGUAUAAAGGCUAAGUAAAAUAAAAUAAACAUACCUGAGCAUGCA